UACUUGGGGAGGGAUCAUUA
rnacentral:rRNA from 1 species